CACACACACCUACACACAUAUAUAUACACACACACCUACACACACAGACACACACACCUACACACACAGACACACAUAUAUAAACACACACACACAUAUAUAUAUAUAUAUAUAUAUACAUACAGACAGACAGACAGACAGACAGACAGACAGACACACAGACACACACUGCCAAGUCACAAGUUCCUGUGUGUGUAUGUAGCAGGAUGUGCAUUCUGUAGCGUGUGUUGUCAUUGGAAGGCCUGUUUCCUCAUUUCCCCAUAUCCUCUACUCCUACCCCUCGUGCCCAUGUCAGAGGAUAAGAAAACCCCUUCACAUUCAGCCGUGUGCACCAGAUGUCCUUCUCCACAUCCACUUGUGUUUUAAUAAGGAGGAGGUUCCUGAGAACAAGCUUUAGGAAGCUCUGUGUGUGUUCGUCUACAGCACCCACAUCUACAGCAUCUGUUUCUCAGACUCACUAGAUGUCUAGGUUCCUGUUCGUCUACAGCACCCACAUCUACAGCAUCUGUUUCUCAGACUCACUAGAUGUCUAGGUUCCUGUUCGUCUACAACACCCACAUCUACAGCAUCUGUUUCUCAGACUCACUAGAUGUCUAGGUUCCUGUUCGUCUACAGCACCCACAUCUACAGCAUCUGUUUCUCAGACUCACUAGAUGUCUAGGUUCCUGUUCGUCUACAGCACCCACAUCUACAGCAUCUGUUUCUCAGGUUCACUAGAUGUCUAGGUUCCUGUUCGUCUACAGCACCCACAUCUACAGCAUCUGUUUCUCAGACUCACUAGAUGUCUAGGUUCCUGUUCGUCUACAGCACCCACAUCUACAGCAUCUGUUUCUCAGGUUCACUAGAUGUCUAGGUUCCUGUUCGUCUACAGCACCCACAUCUACAGCAUCUGUUUCUCAGACUCACUAGAUGUCUAGGUUCCUGUUCGUCUACAGCACCCACAUCUACAGCAUCUGUUUCUCAGACUCACUAGAUGUCUAGGUUCCUGUUCGUCUACAGCACCCACAUCUACAGCAUCUGUUUCUCAGACUCACUAGAUGUCUAGGUUCCUGUUCGUCUACAGCACCCACAUCUACAGCAUCUGUUUCUCAGGUUCACUAGAUGUCUAGGUUCCUGUUCGUCUACAGCACCCACAUCUACAGCAUCUGUUUCUCAGACUCACUAGAUGUCUAGGUUCCUGUUCGUCUACAACACCCACAUCUACAGCAUCUGUUUCUCAGACUCACUAGAUGUCUAGGUUCCUGUUCGUCUACAACACCCACAUCUACAGCAUCUGUUUCUCAGGUUCACUAGAUGUCUAGGUUCCUGUUCGUCUACAGCACCCACAUCUACAGCAUCUGUUUCUCAGACUCACUAGAUGUCUAGGUUCCUGUUCGUCUACAGCACCCACAUCUACAGCAUCUG